rnacentral:rRNA from 1 species
AGAGGGGUGCGAGCGUUAAUCGGACUUACUGGGCGUAAAGGGCGCGUAGGUGGUUAUUUAAGUUAGAUGUGAAAUCCUUGGGGCUUAACCUGAGAACUGCAUUUAAUACUGGAUGACUAGAGUACGGUAGAGGGAAGUGGAAUUUCCGGUGUAGCGGUGAAAUGCGUAGAUAUCGGAAGGAACACCAAUGGCGAAGGCAACUUCCUGGACUGUAACUGACACUGAGGCGCGAAAGCGUGGGGAGCAAACAGGAUUAGAGACCCUGGUAGUCCACGCUGUAAACGAUGAGAACUAGCUGUUGGGAAGCUUAGACUUCUUAGUGGCGCAGCUAACGCACUAAGUUCUCCGCCUGGGGACUACGGCCGCAAGGCUA